AUCAGUUCUCUCUCCCUCUCUUUUCUCCACCAAAGUGCUCUGCUAGGGUUUUUAGCAAGCAUUCUCUAUGGGCUAAGUUACGAGUUCCUUCCAACUUCCUAAGCUACUUGGUUACUGUUGCUCCUCUACUAAACAUCCUAUUCGUAGCUUUCAGCUUAAAAAGAUGUGGAGACUCUUGGUGAUCGUGAUGUUGACGGGGAGACCGCGAUGUAGUUAGGCUUCCUAGAUCCUUUAUUACUCAUUGUUGAGCAUUUCUUCUUGUGUAGUUUUAUUUUGUAGUUUCUUACUCUUUGGGCAAAUUUCCAGCCAAUUUAAUCUAAUGUGUUUGAAUUCUUUUCAUGACAUUAUGUUUGUGUCUUUGAGCUUCCA